rnacentral:rRNA from 1 species
GUCUAUAUGAAGUUAUAUAAAGUCUAGCCUGCCCGUUGAAAUAAAUGAAAGGCCGCAGUAUAAUUAACUGUGCAAAGGUAGCAUAAUUAGUAGUCUUUUAAUUGAAGGCUUGUAUGAAGGGUUGGACAAAAAAUAAGCUGUUUUCUAUUUUUGUUUUUGAAUUUGUCUUUUAAGUGAAAAGACUUAAAUAAUUUUAAGGGACGAUAAGACCCUAUAAAUCUUUAUAUUAAUAUAUUUUUAUUUAAGUUUUUUAUGUAUAUUAAAGUAAAAAUUAAAGAUAUUGUAUUGGGGUGAUAAGAAUAAUGAAUAAACUGUUCUAAAAAUAAACAAAGUUAUUUGGAAAAUAAUAGAUCCUUUUUAGAGAUUAAGAGUUUAAGUUACUUUAGGGAUAACAGCGUUAUUUUUUUUGAGAGUUCUAAUCGAAAAAAAAGUUUGCGACCUCGAUGUUGAAUUAAAAUUUCUUUAUGGUGUAGCCGUUAUAAAAGAAAGUCUGUUCGACUUUUAAAAUUUU